rnacentral:rRNA from 1 species
CAAAAGCUUGGUCCUGGCUUUUCUGUCAUCUCCGGCUAAAUUUACACAUGCAAGUAUCCGCACCCCCGUGAGAAUGCCCCACAGUCCCCCUCCCCGGAGACAAGGAGCUGGUAUCAGGCACAUUAAUAUGCCCGCCCACGACACCUUGCUCAGCCACACCCUCAAGGGAAUUCAGCAGUGAUAAACAUUAAGCCAUAAGUGAAAACUUGACUUAGUUACAGCCCCUAGGGCCGGUAAAACUCGUGCCAGCCACCGCGGUUAUACGAGAGGCCCAAGCUGACAGCCCCCGGCGUAAAGAGUGGUUAAGUUAACCCUAAUGUGACUAAAGUCGAACGCCCCCAAGACCGUUAUACGUGCUCGGAGGUAUGAAGCCCAACUACGAAAGUGGCUUUAAAAUACCUGACCCCACGAAAGCUGUGAAACAAACUGGGAUUAGAUACCCCACUAUG